UUUCCGUAGGUGAACCUGCGGAAGGAUCAUUGUCGAAACCUGCAUAGCAGAACGACUCGUGGACAUGUUGAUCUGAUGGGUGUGGGGUUCGGGUGAAUUUAUCCCGUACUCCCCCGACGUCGUCCCGUGCAUGGAUUCUCCAUCCCUAUCCAAUGCUUAGGCGUGUUGGGUCUUGCGAUGAAUUUUUGUACGUGGUUGGCGGUAAUUACUAUGGACCCGGCGCGGACUGCGUCAAGGAAGCAAACAUAAGGAGCAUGCUCCUGGGGACUUCGUAUCGAUGUUCUCUAUGGAUGCGCCUCUAUAACAAAACAAUUAUAACGACUCUCGGCAACGGAUAUCUCGGCUCUCGCAUCGAUGAAGAACGCAGCGAAAUGCGAUACUUGGUGUGAAUUGCAGAAUCCCGUGAAUCAUCGAGUCUUUGAACGCAAGUUGCGCCCGAGGCCAUUUGGUCUAGGGCACGCCUGCCUGGGCGUCACACGUUGCGUUGCCUCUUAACCCUUUACCCAUGGGAUCGGGUUUGAUAUCGAGGCAGAUGUUGGCUUCCCGUGCAUCACCUGUACGGUUGGUUGAAAAAAGCAGUCUCCGUGGCACGUUUCUUGACGGUUGGUGGAUGACACAAAGUUUUGUCCCAUCGUCUUUUYAGUACYUUGGAGCAUAUUGCAAUGACCCCUAGAAUGUUGGCCAUUGUUCCUUCUGCGACCCC
rnacentral:misc_RNA from 1 species